rnacentral:rRNA from 1 species
UACGUAGGGGGCUAGCGUUGUCCGGAUUUAUUGGGCGUAAAGAGCGUGUAGGCGGCCAGGUAGGUCUGGUGUGAAAACUCGAGGCUUAACCUCGAGAUGUCAUCGGAAACCAUCUGGCUAGAGUCCGGAAGAGGAGAGUGGAAUUCCUGGUGUAGCGGUGAAAUGCGCAGAUAUCAGGAAGAACACCAAUGGCGAAGGCAGCCCCCUGGGUCAAGAUUGACGCUCAUGCACGAAAGCGUGGGGAGCAAACAGG